CUACGGGUGGCUGCAGCAGGGAAUAUUGCACAAUGGACGGAAGUCUGAUGCAGCGACGCCGCGUGGAUGAUGAAGGCCUUCGGGUUGUAAAAUCCUUUUCAGGGAGAAGAGGAAGGACGGUAUCCCUGGAAUAAGCGUCGGCUAACUACGUGCCAGCAGCCGCGGUAAUACGUAGGACGCAAGCGUUAUCCGGAUUUACUGGGCGUAAAGCGUCUGUAGGCGGUUUAGUAAGUUUGAUGUGAAAGCUCCAGGCUCAACUUGGAGAGUGCAUUGAAUACUGCUAGACUUGAGGGGAUCAGAGGAAAGCGGAAUUUCCGGUGUAGCGGUAAAAUGCGCAGAUAUCGGAAAGAACACCAGUGGCGAAGGCGGCUUUCUGGGAUCAACCUGACGCUGAGGGACGAAAGCUAGGGUAGCGAACAGGAUUAGAUACCCUAGUAGUC
rnacentral:rRNA from 1 species